AGGAAGGUCAGCCUGUUUCAGUCCAAGUUUUUGCUGCAAAGCUUCCUUGGCUGCUGUUUUGCCUUCAACAACAUUUUCCGAGGUGUACGGAAUCGGAAUGAACUUAUCAUUUAAAGGAUCCCAAAUAUCUGGGUCAAUCCCAUUCACUAUACCAUGGAACUUGUGAAGGUGAGGCGCAAUUACAGGGUUUCCAGACACCUCCUGUGAGUAAGUUGGUGAAACUGUUGUAGCUUUGUCUGCAUGAGUCAUUGCUCUCCCAAUGAGAUCUGCCCCAAAUUCAAGAUUAUGUAUCGUGAAGACUAUACGAGAUUUGCUUAGACCAUAGUGUGUAUAUUGUUCCUUAAAGAGCCAAGCAACAGGAGCACUAGACCAAUCAUGGCAAUGAAUGAUAUCCGGACUAAAUCCACCUUGCAGAAGGAACUCCAAAGCCGCAUGACAGAAGAAACCAAAUCGUUCACCGUCGUUGCUACAACCAUAUACGCACCCUUUCCAAAAUAACCCGUUUUGAGGCUCCAAAAAAUAGACCGAGAGUCCUUCCACCUUUCCAAACCAUACUUUUAUUUCAGUCCCACCCCAAAAGUAGCUUUUGUGAAACCGAAAGUCCUUCACAUUAUUCAUCUUCAAACAGUCAUACUUAGGUAAUAUAAUAUCCA
rnacentral:misc_RNA from 1 species